rnacentral:misc_RNA from 1 species
UUAACUAUUGUAUAGUACUCAGACAACACUAAUAUUUAGAGUUUAGGGGUCCUUUGGCGGGCACUUACCAGCCAGAGCCGGUAGCCGAAGCGGCCCGCCAAAGCAACAAAGGUAUGGUACUCAAGGGUGGGAGAUCUACCCGUGGGGGCAUGAACUCUGUAAUGAUCCUUCCGCAGGUUCACCUACGGAAA